UACAGAGGUCUCAAGCGUUGUUCGGAUUCAUUGGGCGUAAAGGGUGUGUAGGUGGCGCGCUAAGUCGGGUGUGAAAUUUCGGAGCUUAACUCCGAAACUGCAUUCGAUACUGGCGUGCUUGAGGACUGGAGAGGAGACUGGAAUUCAUGGUGUAGCAGUGAAAUGCGUAGAGAUCAUGAGGAAGACCAGUGGCGAAGGCGGGUCUCUGGACCGAGACUGACGCUGAGGCGCGAAAGCGUGGGGAGCAAACAGG
rnacentral:rRNA from 1 species